AUGGAACCUGAGCCAAUCACAAAGGAACAUUCUCUGCUAUGGAGUUCAUAUUCUCCUGACAGAGCUGAAAUGAAUUGUCCUUUUUGCUGUGGAGCCCUUACUUCUCAGAGAAACAAAUUCCCUCAGGAGCUAGAGCUCUGGAGGCAAAAGUUGCAGCACUUAUCACAGAAAGGAGUUCUGCUGUAAGCUCUUAAGUAUUUCUUAACAGUUUGCUGUAAAAUGAACAGUACUACAAAUAGGACCAAAUUCAUGUCUCUUUCUCUGAGGGGACCAAGACUCUAAAGAAUGAGAUGAUAAAUGAAGACUGAACAAGAAGUCAAUUGCAACUUCAGACCAUUACCUUGGUGUAGAACCCUACGGACAUGGAAAAUAGAGAUUCAUGAACCAGAAUCUCUGGGAGUAAGACUUUAUCUAUUUGGUGAAAGUGAAAUGCAUUUGGUGAAGUAAUAGAAGAUAUGUACACACUUCAUGUUGACACUUUAAUCGUGGGUUAAGAGGUUUUGAAAUGCCAUUUGGAACUAUUUCUAUAGCGGCCUUCUCUCUGUGUCAGUGUAAGCUCCUGGUUUCCACAGCAAUAGGCUGAGGUACAGUAUAUAGAAAUGGACACAUUUCUUACGAUCAGCUUCAUCAACUGCGACUUAAAAAAGUCACUUUCUUAUGUAGGGAAGAGGUGGCACUUUUGACAGUGAUAGGAUUCCAUGCGAUGGAAAUCAGGUAAUAUCAGGCUCACACAUCUGCUGUUUUUCUCCAUGUUUGUGUACAGCUUUCAGUUAUUCAUAGAACUGUUCGAGCAUUCAGCAUAUGCAGUAUGCAGUUCCAGUGAUUUAGAACCAUCUGCUUAAGGUUUCAUUCUGACAAGCUGUUCUGCUGUUGAAGUUCUCACACGGUUGUUCAGCCUCUUACCAAAUGACUCCUAAAAGCCUGCUAACCACAUUGCAACCUACCUUUUGUAAGUGUUUGUGUUCAUCUCUUAAGUUCAUGUCAAUUAAUCCAACUGUGUGGUAGAAAAAAAAACAAACAGCACAAAGUCAAAAGAAUAUGCCUGAGCUGUUUUGCAGUUGCAGUUUGGUUUAAUAAGUGUUUUUAUCUCAAUCCAUUUUUCAAAUAGUUUAUAUAACAACAUUUUAUAUAGCACCACUCCACAUCCUAUAGUUUUUAAAUUAUUUUGAUUUACCACUUCUGUUCAAUAUUGAGUAAAAUUCUUUUUAACUUUCUUAAAGAUUUUAGUUGCCUUGUUUCCAACCUGCUUCCAUGCAUUUAUCUACUUACAUUGCAAGUAUAUGCUCUCUGUGCUGAUUUACACUGAAAUAGCACUAACGUUGCCAGGCAUAGCUCAUCGAGUCUUUUAGGUCAGAUUGCAUCACUUACAGGAUUCUCUAGGGAGUUCCAGGGUCGCUGUCAAGCUGAAGUGCCCAUCUCUGAAGUCAUCACUUCACCAACACUUUUCAAUCACCCACAACUUGUUUUCUUUCAGUGUAUCAUCCACCCUAGGGUACUGUGAGUGACAAUCACACUCCUCUAUUCUCCACAGAAGUCAGCUGGUUAUUUUUCUUGUCCAACCAAACACAGGUCCCUCUUCAACCUGCUGGAGGGGAGAUCUGCUAUAUUGUUCUAGAUACUCUCAGCCAGCACAGACAGCAAAAUACUGCCAUUUCAAAAGCCAUGAGAAGACUAAAUUCUGGCAGAUUACUCCUGGUUUUUCUUUGCCAGUGCUUCUCAGCUGACAAAUAGAUUCAUGGUGUUUGUGUUCAGACCAUUAUGAUCACUUGGUCUAUAAUGUAUAUAAUUUUCUCAGCAGCUGAGUCAAAGCAUGUUUUCCAGAAAGAUAUCUAAUCUCAUUUUACAGACUCAGAGCCACAGCACGUCUAUUACCUUCCUUGGUACGUUGCUAAUUACAUUUACUGCCUCUGUGUCAAGGCUGAAUGUGUAUAUUUUGUUAUGGUUUUGUCUGCAAGACUAAAUUUUUCCUUUUCCCUCAUGAUCAGAUUUCAUUUCAAAGUGGAAGUAUCUAUAUAUGGAAAUAAAAUCACCUUUUGACCUCCA
ensembl:lncRNA